CUUGAGAAGAUACCCCACAUUAGUCACUGUUUCAAAGCUACGUGAAAGCAUUGGCAGAGAGUUGUGUAAGUGAACACGUUUCCAAACAACCUUGGUGCUGGUGGGGAGGUGGUGCUGGAGCUGUGAAUAUUGCAGGGAAGUGGAGGGCUGCCCCAACACAAUGUCCUGCCUCUUCUAUAGGAAACCUGAACAGCAAAAUGAAUUGCAUUGUUCGAGAGACAAAUUUAUGUUCUGUGCCAAUGCAGACAGGAAUCUUUCUGCUGUAGAUGGGAGACUGAGGAACAGGAAGCCCAGGAUUUGUCUAAGUAGUAUGGACCAUCUGUACCUAAACAGGAAAUGAACUGGGUCUCCAGAGCUCCAGAAAAAGGCUGUCAUCAUAGGGUCAUCUAUUUUCACCGUGCCACAAUGCUUCUUGUGAAAUAAAAUGCCUUUCGCUGCUCCCCUGGGAAUCUAAUUCUGUGUACUGAAUAAAUAAAACAGUGAAAGUAGGAACA